rnacentral:rRNA from 1 species
UACGUAGGGUGCAAGCGUUAAUCGGAAUUACUGGGCGUAAAGCGUGCGCAGGCGGUUAUGCAAGACAGAUGUGAAAUCCCCGGGCUUAACCUGGGAACCGCAUUUGUGACUGCAUAGCUGGAGUACGGCAGAGGGGGAUGGAAUUCCGCGUGUAGCAGUGAAAUGCGUAGAUAUGCGGAGGAACACCGAUGGCGAAGGCGAGUCCCUGGAAAACUCCUGACACUGAGGCACGAAAGCUAGGGGAGCAAACAGG